GACGAACGCUGGCGGCGUGCUUAACACAUGCAAGUCGAACGGAAAGGCCCUGCUUUUGUGGGGUGCUCGAGUGGCGAACGGGUGAGUAACACGUGAGUAACCUGCCCUUGACUUUGGGAUAACUUCAGGAAACUGGGGCUAAUACCGGAUAGGAGCUCCUGCUGCAUGGUGGGGGUUGGAAAGUUUCGGCGGUUGGGGAUGGACUCGCGGCUUAUCAGCUUGUUGGUGGGGUAGUGGCUUACCAAGGCUUUGACGGGUAGCCGGCCUGAGAGGGUGACCGGCCACAUUGGGACUGAGAUACGGCCCAGACUCCUACGGGAGGCAGCAGUGGGGAAUAUUGCACAAUGGGCGGAAGACUGAUGCAGCAACGCCGCGUGCGGGAUGACGGACUUCGGGUUGUAAACCGCUUUCGCCUGUGACGAAGCGUGAGUGAAGGUAAUGGGUAAAGAAGCACCGGCUAACUACGUG
rnacentral:rRNA from 1 species